rnacentral:rRNA from 1 species
CACGUAGGGGGCAAGCGUUGUCCGGAUUUAUUGGGCGUAAAGAGCUCGUAGGCGGUUCGGUAAGUCGGGUGUGAAACCUCCAGGCUCAACCUGGAGAGGCCACCUGAUACUGCUGUGACUCGAGUCCGGUAGGGGAGCGUGGAAUUCCUGGUGUAGCGGUGAAAUGCGCAGAUAUCAGGAGGAACACCAGCGGCGAAGGCGGCGCUCUGGGCCGGAACUGACGCUGAGGAGCGAAAGCAUGGGGAGCGAACAGG